UACGGGGGGGGCAAGCGUUGUUCGGAAUUACUGGGCGUAAAGCGUGCGCAGGCGGUUUGUUAAGACAGGUGUGAAAUCCCCGGGCUUAACCUGGGAACUGCGCUUGUUACUGGCAGACUUGAGUGUGGCAGAGGGGGGUGGAAUUCCAGGUGUAGCAGUGAAAUGCGUAGAGAUCUGGAGGAACACCGAUGGCGAAGGCAGCCCCCUGGGUUAACACUGACGCUCAUGCACGAAAGCGUGGGGAGCAAACAGG
rnacentral:rRNA from 1 species